CCUCGGUGGCAGCAGUGGGGAAUAUUGGACAAUGGGCGAAAGCCUGAUCCAGCCAUGCCGCGUGUGUGAAGAAGGCCUUCGGGUUGUAAAGCACUUUCAGUGGGGAAGAAAGCCUUGGGGCUAAUACCCUCGAGGAAGGACAUCACCCACAGAAGAAGCACCGGCUAACUCCGUGCCAGCAGCCGCGGUAAUACGGAGGGUGCGAGCGUUAAUCGGAAUUACUGGGCGUAAAGCGCGCGUAGGCGGUCUGAUAAGCCGGUUGUGAAAGCCCCGGGCUCAACCUGGGAACGGCAUCCGGAACUGUCAGGCUAGAGUGCAUGAGAGGAAGGUAGAAUUCCCGGUGUAGCGGUGAAAUGCGUAGAGAUCGGGAGGAAUACCAGUGGCGAAGGCGGCCUUCUGGACUGACACUGACGCUGAGGUGCGAAAGCGUGGGUAGCAAACAGGAUUAGAUACCCGUGUAGUC
rnacentral:rRNA from 1 species